rnacentral:lncRNA from 13 species
AUGUGUGCCGAGGCUGGGAACGGGGAGAGCAGCCCGGCAAGGAUCGAGGCAGGCAGAGCCAGUCUAUUGGCGGGGGGGGGAAGGUGGGGGGAGGGCGGGGCAGCCCUUUAUCCUGCUCCUUCAGUGCUGUGGCUGGGAACCCGAGGGAUUCAUGCUGCCCUCCAAGGUGAACGGAAGACCCGCCUGCUUUUCUCAGGGACAGUCCUCACAGGCACUCUCCCCACAGUGGGACUGGACAGGCACACUUGGCCUGAUCCGGUAAUUCAAGCUGUGUUUCCAGCUCUGCAGGUCCAGAUCCAAGCCAUCCUUCCAAGUUCCAUUCAAAAGCCACAUUCUCCAGCAAGACUCAUCUCUCCCUCUUUUAAACUUGGGGAGAACUUUUCAGUACCUAACUUUUCUUCUUGUUCUAGGUUAUCUGUACUUAUUUGUUUAUCUGGUCUAUAUCCCCCUUGAGAUUCUACACCCUCAGGUCUGUGGUCCCACGGCUCUUUCAGGUUUCUCUUCCUGCCAAAUGCUUCUUCAAGGCCUGGGCAAUGGUAGGUACGUGGAAUGAAAGGAAGAUGUUGGCAGCGGUAUCUGGAAUCCACGCCUGUGAUCGUGGUGGGAUGUGGUGGUGUGGUUGAGUUGCAAGGAGGAAGAUGGCGGUAGUGACGGAAACUGGCCAACAAAUCUUCCCCUAGACAAUCUGCCUUUGGCUACACUUUGCAGCUGAGCGACUCUGCUUCGGAAAAAGAAAGGAAGAUGCCAGGCACGGACAGCCAGCCAAGCACCACAGCUCUAUUGGAUCGAUCUCAGCCGUCUAGGCCCUUUCUUCCCAUCCACAAAUGGAAUGCUUUCUGAGGAAACACGCAACACAGUACUAGACAUAAAUAGUGAAGGCUCGUUGGCCAGGGCGUCCCUCAGGAGAGAACACAGUGUAGCCAUAAUUUAUUGUGUUGGCUAUUUUCACUUCCAAUCUUACUUUUAUGGACAUUAUUUCAUGGGCUGGAGCUUAAACACAGAUGGAAAGAUUCUGGCUUUAUAACAAGAGAUGGUUUCUGGCGGGCCAGCCCGCGGCUGUUUGUGUGAGCAAACCCACAUGAUCAUGUCCUUAGGUGGGGUUGGGAGACGCCUUCAUUAUGCUCUGGGACAUUGAUCCAACAAAUCCAACAAUUCUGCCUUCAUCCUCCCCCAAGGCUGGGGCCCCAGAUACUCCCAGGAAGGAAGUGACAAACACCAGAGUGAGCGAGGGGGAGGAGGGAAAGGCCAGCCUUUGAAAUGUAUUUCUGCCUUGGGCUGGAUCUGCCAUCCUUGAGUCUUCAGAGGACUUUGACUCAGUGACUUGGGCCUAGACCCCAAAGGGCAAAAUUGAAAGGAAGGGGACAUUAUUAUACGUGUGAGAUACACACACACACACACACACACACACACACACAUAUACAUAUAAUUGAUGACUCCGUGUUGGAUGAUUUGCAUUGUCUUUUGGGGGAGCAGGGGCAGGAGCUAGGUAGAAAAUUGAGCUUGUCCUCUCUCUUAAUGUCUUGUGAGCUGCCCUCCUCCCUCUACAAUAUAUCACAGGUAGUUUCACAUCAACAAACAUUCUUGAGAACAUGAUGGAGGCCGGGUAGUGGCUCACACCUAUAAUUCCAGCACUUUGGGAGGUCGAGGUGGGAGGAUUACUUGAGGCCAGGAGUUCGAGACCCGCCCCCCCAUCACUACAAAAAAAUAAAAAAUUAGCCAGGCGUGGUGGUGUGCGCCUG